UCCAAUUAUGUCAAAUUGAAAUUAAUUUCAAUUGAAAUUUUAAUUAUGAAGAAUUACUGCAGGAAAAGUUAAAAAAUAAUGUCUCUAUCCCUUCCCAGAUUUAGCCAAACUGUGAGGUUGAGAGCACUGUCUGUCGGCUCAAGACGUCUAACCCCAACUUCAAGGAAUUAGGGUUUGCCUACAAAGUUAGAGGAAAGAGCCCAUACAAGACCACUCUCACUUCUGACACCAACUGCAGCUAGAUGUUGACAUCUUGGGCAACCUUGCAAGAUAGAUUUUGAAGAUGGUGAAAUUUCUAUCAGCCAGGGUUCCUGCAUGGUGGCAUGGAACAGAUCCCCACAACCCUACCCAGCCACCUGUUGAACUUCACAUGAGUACACGUUUUUCAACAUUGUAUAGUGAAGAUCGGUUAGUGGUCACACAGCCAGUAAGUGGUGAAGCUAAGAUGUGAACUGAAUAGCCUGUGUUGUUAACGACUACAUCAUGCUGCCAUAUUUUUUGGAAGAUUGGAUAAUCUUGUUCCAGUUUUAUUUGUUCUUUUGAAGCCAGAGAAAACAGUCCUACAAGUACGCCUAUAAGAACGAUCUGGAGAUUGGUUCAAGAUGGAGUAGAAGGACAUGCGCUCACUCCCUCUUGCGAGAACACUGGAAUCAGAACUAACUGCUGAACAAUCAUUGACAGGAAGACACUGGAACUCACCAAAAAAGAUACCCCACAUCCAAAGACAAAGGAAAAGCCACGAUGAGCUGGUAGGUGGGGUGCAAUCACAAUAAAAUUAAAUCCCAUAAUCGCUGGGUGGGUGACUCACAAACAGGAGAACAGUUAUACCACAGAAGUCCACCAACUGGAGUGAAGGUUCUGAGCCCCACCUCAGGCUUCCCAACCUGGGAGUCCAGCAACAGGAGGAGGAAUUCCCAGAGAAUCAGACUUUGAAGGCUAGUGGGAAUUGACUGCAGGACUUUGACAGGACUGGGGGAAACAGAGACUCCACUCUUGGAGGGCACACACAAAGUAGUGUGCGCGUCAGGACCCAGGGGGAAGGAGCAGUGACCCCAUAGGAGACUGAACCAGACCUACCUGCUAGUGUUGGAGGGUCUCCUGCAGAGACGGGGGGUGUCUUUGGCUCACUGCGGGGACAAAGACACUGGCAGCAGAAGUUCUGGGAAGUACUCCUUGGUGUGAGCCCUCCCAAAGACCACCAUUAGCCCCACCAAAGAGCUGGGUAGUCUCCAUUGCUGGGUCGCCUCAGGCCACACAACCAACAAGGAGGGAACUCAGCCCCAACCAUCAGCAGAUAAGUGGAUUAAAGUCUGACUGAACUCUGCCCACCAGAGCAACACCCAGCUCUACCUACCACCAGUCCCUCCCAUCAGGAAGCUCGCACAAGCCUCUUAGAUAGCCUCAUCCACCAGAGGGCAGACAGCAGAAGAAAGAAGAAUGACAAUCCUGCAGCCUAUGGAACAAAAACCACAUUCACAGAAAGAUAGACAAAAUAAAAAGACAGAGAACUAUGUACCAGAUGAAGGAACAAGAUAAAACCCCAGAAAAACAACUAAAUGAAGUGGAAAUAGGCAACCUCUAGAAAAAGAAUUCAGAAUAAUAGUGAAGAUGAUCCAGGACCUCGGAAAAAGAAUGGAGCCAAAGAUCGAGAUGAUGCAAGAAAUGUUUAACAAAGAUCUAGAAGAAUUAAAGAACAAACGCCUAGAAAUAAAGAACAAACAAACAGAGAUGAGCAAUACAAUAACUGAAAUGAAAAAUACACUAGAAGGAAUCAAUAGCAGAAUAUAUGAGGCAGAAGAAUGGAUAAGUGACCUGGAAGACAGAAUGGUGGAAUUCACUGCCAUGGAACAGAAUAAAGAAAAAAGAAUAAAAAGAAACGAAGACAGCCUAAGAGAUCUCUGAGACAACAUUAAACGCACCAACAUUCGCAUUAUAGGGGUCCCAGAAGGAGAAGAGAGAAAGAAAAGAUGUGAGAAAAUAUUUGAAGAGAUUAUAGUCAAAAACUUCCCUAACAUGGGAAAGGAAAUAGCCACCCAAGUCCAGGAAGUUCAGAUAGUCCCAGGCAGGACAAACCCAAGGAGAAACAUGCCAAGACACAUAGUAAUCAAAUUGACAAAAAUUAAAGACAAAGAAAAAUUAUUAAAAGCAACAAAGGAAAAAUGACAAAUAACAUACAACGGAAUUCCCAUAAGGUUAACAGCUGAUUUCUCAGCAGAAACUCUGCAAGCCAGAAGGGAGUGGCACGAUAUAUUUAAAGUGAUGAAAGGGAAGAAACUACAGCCAAGAUUACUCUACCCAGUAAGGAUCUCAUUCAGAUUCGACAGAGAAAUCAAAAGCUUUACAGAGAAGCAAAAGCUAAGAGAAUUCAGCACCACCAAAUCAGCUCCACAACAAAUGCUAAACGAACUUCUCUAAGUGGGAAACACAAGAGAAGAAAAGGACCUACAAAAACAAACCCAAAACAAUUAAGAAAAUGGUAAUACGAACAUACAUAUUGAUAAUUACCUUAAAUGUGAAUGGAUUAAAUGCUCCAACCAAAAGACACAGGCUUGCUGAAUGGAUACAAAAACAAUAUCCACAUAUAUGCUGUCUACAAGAGAACCACUUCAGACCUAGGGACACAUACAGACUGAAAAUGAGGGGAUGGAAAAAGAUAUUCCAUGCAAAUGGAAAUCAAAAGAAAGCUGGAGUAGCAAUACUCAUAUCAGAUAAAAUAGACUUUAAAAUAAAGAAUGCUAUAAGAGACAAAGAAGGACACUACAUAAUGAUCAAGGGAUCAAUUCAAGAAGAAGAUAUAACAAUUAUAAACAUACAUGCACCCAACAUAGGAGCACCUCAAUACAUAAGGCAGCUGCUAACAGCUAGAAAAGAGGAAAUCAACAGUACCACAGUAAUAGUGGGGGACUUUAACACCUCACUUACACCAAUGGAUAGAUCAUCCAGAUAGAAAAUUAAUAAGGAAACACAAGCUUUAAAUGACACAAUAGACCAGAUAGAUUUAAUUGAUAUUUAUGGGACAUUCCAUCUGCAAACAGCAGAUUACACUUUCUUCUCAAGUGCACACAGAACAUUCUGCAAGAUAGAUCACAUCUUGGGUCACAAAUCAAGCCCCGGUAAAUUUAAGAAAAUUGAAAUUGUAUCAAGCAUCUUUUCUGACCACAACGCUUUGAGAUGAGAAAUCAAUUGCAGGAAAAAAAAUAGUAAAAAACACAAACACAUGGAGGCUAAACAAUAUGCUACAAAAUAACCAAGAGAUCACUGAAGAAAUCAAAGAGGAAAUCAAAAAAUACAUAGAGACAAAUAACAAAGAAAACACAGCAAACCAAAACCUAUGGGAUGUAGCAAAAGCAGUUCUAAGAGGGAAGUUUAUAGCAGUACAGUCCUACCUCAAGAAACAAGAAAAAUCUCAAGUAAACAAUCUAACCUUACAGCUAAAGGAACUAGAGAAAGAAGAACAAAGAAAACCCAAAGUUAGUAGCAGGAAAGAAAUCAUACAGAUCAGAGCAGAAAUAAAUGAAAUACAAACAAAGAAAAUAAUAGUAAAGAUCAAUAAAACUAAAAGCUGGCUCUUUAAGAAGGUAAACAAAAUUGGUAAACCUUAAGCCAGAUUCAUCAAGAAAAAGAGGGAGAGGACUCAAAUCAAUAAAAUUAGAAACGAAAAAGGAGAAGUUACAAUGGCAACUGCAGAAAUACAAAGCAUCAUAAGAGACUACUACGAGCAACUCUAUGCCAAUAAAAUGGACAACCUGGAAGAAAUGGACAAAUUCUUAGACAGGUAUAACCUUCCAAGACUGAACCAGGAAGAAAUAGAAAAUACGAACAGACCACUCACAGGCACUGAAAUUGAAACUGUGAUUAAAAAUCUUCCAACAAAGUCCAGGACCAGAUGGUUUCACAGGUGAAUUCUAUCAAACAUUUAGAGAAGAGCUAACACCUAUCCUUCUCAAACUCUUACAAAAAAUUGCAGAGGAAGGAACACUCCCAAACUCAUUCUAUGAGGCCACCAUCACCCUGAUACCAAAACCAGACAGAGAUGCUACUAAAAAAGAAAAUUACAGACCAAUAUCACUGAUGAAUAUAGAUGCAAAAAUCCUCAACAAAAUACUAGCAAACAGAAUCCAACGAAACAUUAAAAGGAUCAUACACUAUAAUAAAGUGGGAUUUAUCCCAGUGAUGUAAGAAUUCUUCAGUAUAUGUAAAUCAAUCAAUGUGGUACAUCGUAUUAGCAAAUUGAAGAAUAAAAACCAUAUGAUCAUCUCAAUAGAUGCAGAAAAAGCUUUUGACAAAAUUCAACAUCCAUUUAUGAUAAAAACUCUCCAGAAAGUGGGUAUAGAGGGAAUCUACCUCAAUAUAAUAAAGGCCAUAUAUGGCAAACCCACAGCAAACAUAAUUCUCAAUGGUGGAAAACUGAAACCAUUUCCUCUAAGAUCAGGAACAAGAAAAGGUUGCCCAAUCUCACCACUAUUAUUCAACAUAGCUUUGGAAGUCCUAGCCAUGGCAAUCAGAGAAGAAAAAGAAAUAAAAGGAAUACAAACUGGAAAAGAAGAAGUAAAACUGUCACUGUUUGCAGAUGAUAUGAUACUAUACGUAGAGAAUCCUAAAGAUGCUACCAGAAGACUACUAGAGCUAAUCAAUGAAUUUGGUAAAGUUGCAGGAUACAAAAUUAAUGCACAGAAAUCUCUUGCAUUCCUAUACACUAACAACAACAGAUCAGAAAGAGAAAUUAAGGAAACAAUCCCAUUCACCACUGCAACAAAAAGAAUAAAAUACCUAGGAAUAAACCUACCUAAGGAGGUACCUGUACUCAGAAAACUAUAAGACACUGAUGAAAGAAAUCAAAGAUGACACAAACAGAUGGAGAGAUAUACUAUGUUUUUGGCUUGGAAGAAUCAAUAUUGUGAAAAUGACUAUACUACCCAAAGCAAUCUACAGAUUCAAUGCAAUCCCUCUCAAAUUACCAAUGGCAUUUUUUACAGAACUAGAACAAAAAAUCUUAAAAUUUGUAUGGAGACACAAAAGACCCCAAAUAGCCAAAGCAAUCUUGAGGGAAAAAAAUAGAGCUGGAAGAAUCAGACUCCCUGACUUUAGACUAUACUACAAAGCUACAGUAAACAAGACAAUAUGGUACUGGCACAGAAACAGAAAUAUAGAUCAAUGGAACAGGAUAGAAAACCCAGAGAUAAACUCAUGCACCUAUGGUCAACUAAUCUAUGACAAAGCAGACAAGGAUAUACAAUCCAGAAGACAGUCUCUUCAAUAAGCAAUGCUGGGAAAACUGGACAGCUAUAUGUAAAAGAAUGAAAUUAGAACACUCCCUAACACCAUACACAAAAAUAAACUCAAAAUGGAUUAAAGACCUAAAUGUAAGGCCAGACGCUGUUAAACUCUUAGAGGGAAACAUAGGAAGAACACUCUUUGAUGUAAAUCACAGCAAGAUCUUUUUUGACCCACCUCCUACAGUAAUAGAAAUAAAAACAAAAAUAAACAAAUGGGACCUAAUGAAAUUUAAAAGCUUUUGCACAGCAAAGGAAACUAUAAAGACGAAAAGACAACUCUCAGAAUGGGAGAAAAUAUUUGCAAAUGAAUCAACAGACAAAGGAUUAAUCUCCAAAUUAUAUAAACAGCUCAUGCAGCUCAAUAUUAAAAAAGCAAACAACCUAAUCAAAAAAUGGGCAGAAUAUCUAAAUAGACAUUUCUCCAAGGAAGACAUACAGAUGGCCAAGAGGCACAUGAAGAGCUGCUCAAUGAGCAGCUAAUUAUUAGAGAAAUGCAAAUCAAAACUACAAUGAAGUAUCACCUCACACCAGUUAGAAUGGGCAUCAUUAGAAAAUCUACAAACAACAAAUGCUGGAGAGGGUGUGUAGAAAAGGGAACCCUCUUGCACUGUUGGUGGGAAUGUAAAUUGAUACAGCCACUAUGGAGAACAGUAUGGAGGUUCCUUAAAAAACUAAAAAUAGAAUUACCAUAUGACCUAGCAAUCCCACUACUGGGCAUAUACCCAGAGAAAACCUUAAUUCAAAAAGACACUUGCACCCCGCUGUUCAUUGCAGCACUAUUUACAAUAGCCAGGUCAUGGAAGCAGCCUAAAUGCCCAUCAACAAACGAAUGGAUAAAGAAGAAGUGCUACAUAUAUGCAAUGGAAUAUUACUCAGCCGUUAAAAUGAACGAAAUUGGGUCAUUUGUAGAGACAUGGAUGGACCUAGAGACUGUCAUGCAGAGUGAAGUAAGUCAGAAAGAGAAAAACAAAUAUCAUAUAUUAGCGCAUAUAUGUGGAAUCUAGAAAAAUGGUACUGAUGAACUGGUUUGCAAGGCAGAAAUAGAGACACAGAUGUAGAGAACAAACGUAUAGGCACCAUGGGGGGAAAACAGGGGGAGGUGGGUGGUGUGAUGAACUGGGAGAUUGGGAUUGACAUAUAUACACUAAUAUGUAUAAAAUAGAUAAUCAGAA